AUUUGUAUGAAUUAAUGCAUUCAAUUAUUACAAGCAUAAUAUUAUAUACUGAGUCGCUUGAUGAAAUUAUAACAACUACCCAUCAUGUAUCACUUGAACUAAUUCCAUUACUUUUGCAAACAAAAUCUGAAAUAAUGGUAAAGAUCAACUCAAAUGUUAAAAAAAUAAGUUAGGUUAUGGCUCAACUAACAAAGAACCCAUGUCAUUUUGUUUAGAGAUCUUAGAGAUGCCUAUGUGAGCUAUAGAUUUGUUUCAAAAAACUAAGAAGGUGUAUUAGUAAAAGAAAUGGAUGCCUUAAUGACUAAAUCUUAUGAUAGUGAUCAAAAGCAAGUUCUGACAUCUGAAGAAUGAGAACCAACAAAUUUUUACUUUAUUAGAAUACUAGAAGACUUACAAUCUUUACCCAAUUAUGUUGACAGUUAAUUUACCUUAUUCAAAAUAAAUAUUAGUAAU